AAGUCAACAACUUGAGAAAAGCCAAUGGGUGCAGACAAAAGAAGCCCUAAACAAAAGCCUGCUCUUUUUAGCCAAAGGACCAGGAAAGAGAAAGC